CGUAAAAUAAAAGAAACAAAAAACAUCGCCUCGUUGCCACGGGGCUACACUCGCCUCGCCGCCUCGUUCCCCUCGCCUCCCCGCUGCGCCACCUUCUCUCGCAGAGCCACCUUUCCUCCUCCUUCCUUGACCUCUACAUUAUGCCGAAAAAUUUGCUUUUUUCGUCCAAGAUGAUGACGAAUCGUUGGAUCCGGCGUCAGCAAGGUCAGAUCCGGUGGUUGCGAGUCCGGACGAGGCCUCAAGCAUCCUUUGCGGCGGAGGUUGCACACGCAGAAGGUGGAGCCGCCAGCGUCCCUAGCCUCUCCAGCUCCGACCGUGCUGAGGCCAUCAUCGACGACAGCACACCCGUCGUGGCCUUCGCCGCCGAGGCCGGACGCAUCAAGGCCGUCCUCACCUACCACGGAAAGUCGGAAGCGGCGUUGGUCGAGAAGCUGCUCCGGCGGCUGCAGCAGUUGGAGUUCACGGUGCACGCCUUGAAGGGAGACGAUCGACACACAACAUGGGGCUCUGUCAAUCAAUUAGUCCAUGCUUAAUCCGUUCUUGUACUGAUUGGUGCUGACGCGGAUUGGUCUGAUAGCUCAUUGAGAUCGGGAAGAAAGUGACCUGCCACCGGAAGCACAACUCCAAGCAGAUUCGCCAGCUCGUCGCCAUGUUUUCUAUCUGUCUCUGUACGUGUCUUCGCUAUUGAUAUCCAUUAUCUUUUGUCUUGGCAUUCCUGUUGGAUUCUGGUAAUUCUUGGGGAGCGCAGGGAGCUUCCUUUUGGAUUCUUGGAGUAGUUAAUUGUGGUUGGUGGGUGCAGCACAAAACCGGAGAGUUUGCUUCUUCUUUGAGCUGAUUUCUUGUUCGAUCAGGUUUUUGAUUGAUUGAGCACCAAGCACGCAAGCAAGUGUUUUCCGAAUUCAAGCUUGAUUUCUCUGAAGUUUGUAGUCAAGAAGACUCCAGCUGAUAAUUUCUGGUGUUAUAAUUUAUGGGGAGUCGAAACAACUGAUUUGGACCAGUGUUUUUCUCAAUGGAAACCCUUUUCUCAAAGUAUUGUUGAGUUCAUCAAAUGAGUGAAAAAAUGCUUGGGUUUCUUCCUGGAUGCAAGAAUCGGAGGUGUAGGAGCUGGCCGGAGGAGGUGCCUCUGGCUGGAGGAGGAAAGAGGCACCUCCUCCGGCCAAAACUUGUGCCACAUGGACAUAAGCUACAGGAUGGAAAGAUGAGGGACCUGAAUCCAGGCCCUAUUUGUUUGGGCGUCGGCCUCAGAUUUUGGUGCUUUUAGCGAAGCUGAGAAGCACCUCCGGAUGUGUUUUUGGUGCUUCUGGCUGAGAAGCACGUGUCAGCUUCAUGUGUAAACGGGAAAAUUGUUUUUAAGAUUGCUAGAAACACCGAAAACUUUUUGGUGCUUCUGGCUGAGAAGCACGUGUCAGCUUCAUGUGUAAACGGGAAAAUUGUUUUUAAGAUUGCUAGAAACACCGAAAACUGAAGCAGAAACCGUAGCUGCAAGGUAGGUGGGGCGGCUGGAGGUGAGAGGCAACCUCGGGCGAGCGAGGAAGAAGGCAACCUGAAGGUGGGAGGGCGUUUUUGUUUGUUUCUAAGUAGAAGGGUUUUUUUUUUGUAAAGUAGCAUUGUACAUACAGUCGCUACACUUUUUUUCAGAUCGGGGGGAGUAAUUGCUAAAGAGAUCAUCUUCUUAAAUACUAACAUUUCCCAUCUCAGCUCAUAGUUCUGCAGGAAAGUAGCUGAUCUAGCAAACAAUGCAUCUCCAAAGCCAAAGUACGCAAUGCCAAUACUGAAAAUAAGAAAAGGAAGCUUCAGUUUCACAGAGCCAGCACUGUCCAACUAAACACCCUUCGAAUCUCCUCAUCACCAGGCAGCACAUCUCAUCUGAGGCAAAGGGGAACCAAGUCAAAAAACACUCAAACAGAGCACACAAGAAAAUCCAUGGCUCUGGAGACCUUCAUUUACGGCGGCAAUCGAUGGCUAGCGUGGAGGGGACCAACGCUGCAGACGAGGUGUCCAACAACUUCGCGGCCCAAUACCAGUGAUAGUCUGCACGUUGCGGGCGCCCACGGCUCCGGCUUCGGCGGCACCGGUGGCGUUCGGGUUGGUGACACUGGCGGGGCGCAUGAGGGAGAUGGAGGUUGUGGUGGCGAUCCGACCGGCCAUCUGUGUUUGGGCUGACGGAUCGCACAUCCACUUCUUCGUCGUCUUCAACGACCAUGGCGGACCUCACGUACCUCAUCAUCCCUUAAUUCCCCAUCAUCACUCACGCAUUAUCCUUAUCGUCUCGUCUCAUCUCUAUCAUUAGCUUGUACUGCUAGUAUUUUAACUUUGAUUUGGAGGGUUUUUUGUAUAAGCGAAACGGCAUGGGGGGCUUUGCGUAAAAUGAACAACUCAACCAACAAGCCACAUGUCACACACAUUUGCUAUGACCAAACGUGCACCCCCAAGUUAAGUUAAUGUACCACCUGGCCCCAUUUUGCUACUUAUUGUACUAAACUGCUCGUGCAAUACAAGUUCUUGUACCUCCAGUGUUAUAACCCCUUA